AUUGAUCGCUGGCGGCAAGCUUAACACAUGCAAGUCGAGCGGGGUGAUGGUGCUUGCACUAUCACUUAGCGGCGGACGGGUGAGUAAUGCUUAGGAAUCUGCCUAUUAGUGGGGGACAACAUCUCGAAAGGGAUGCUAAUACCGCAUACGUCCUACGGGAGAAAGCAGGGGAUCACUUGUGACCUUGCGCUAAUAGAUGAGCCUAAGUCGGAUUAGCUAGUUGGUGGGGUAAAGGCCUACCAAGGCGACGAUCUGUAGCGGGUCCGAGAGGAUGAUCCGCCACACUGGGACUGAGACACGGCCCAGACUCCUACGGGAGGCAGCAGUGGGGAAUAUUGGACAAUGGGGGGAACCCUGAUCCAGCCAUGCCGCGUGUGUGAAGAAGGCCUUAUGGUUGUAAAGCACUUUAAGCGAGGAGGAGGCUCUUUUGGUUAAUACCCAGAAUGAGUGGACGUUACUCGCAGAAUAAGCACCGGCUAACUCUGUGCCAGCCGCCGCAGUAA
rnacentral:rRNA from 1 species